AUGAAGAACGUAGCGAAAUGCGAUAAGUAAUGCGAAUUGCAGAAUUUCCGUGAGUCAUCGAAUCUUUGAACGCACAUUGCGCCCACUGGUAUUCCGGUGGGCAUGCCUGUUCGAGCGUCAUUAUCCUCCCUCAAACCCCGGGUUUGGUGUUGGACCGAAGUUGUGUGAACAACUGGUCUAAAAAACAAUGACGGCGUCCGUGGGACCCUCAGUGCAUCGAGCUUUCAUAAGCACGCAUUGAGUUGCAAGGACCUUCCGGGCCGGUCUACUUUUACAUCUUCUGAAAGUUGACCUCGGAUCAGGUAGGAAUACCCGCUGAACUUAAGCAUAUCAAUAAGCGGAGGA
rnacentral:misc_RNA from 1 species